CACUGUCCACAGACGAAAAGUUUACGCUCGGGAAUUCGGAAUCGCGAUGCAUUUUAGCCGUCCGGUUUUGCUCGAUUUGAUAAAUUCAUCCCCAAAAGUAUGGUGUAAAAUCUAUAAACCGCGAAACAUAAAUUGCAAAACAUUAGAAACCCAUCGACUACACAUCGAGGAAAUGGCGGCUGAAAACUCGCCCCGCUGGGGGGAAAUUUUGCAUUCCAGCAACGAAUCAAUCAAGUGCGUCCGGCCGGUCCAGCCCGGCUGGUGGUGUUUAAAGCUCCUUCGACCAGCCCCGUUGGCCUCGCGUGCAGAAUAUUCCAAAAGAAAAGGAACUUUGCAAUGGAACCAAUCGGAUCUCAACCAUCAUCGCAUUUCUCGCACCGGGAGUGUAUUAAAUGGCCCUACAUUGCCAAUUGCCUUUCCACGAGGAUAUGGUAUUAAUAUUGUAUGUGAUGUUUGAAAUUGUGAAAACACAACGAAAAAAUCAAUAAAAAGUGUUGUUUUCAAAACCUUA